rnacentral:rRNA from 1 species
CAGCCGCCGCGGGAAUACGUAGGGUGCAAGCGUUAAUCGGAAUUACUGGGCGUAAAGCGUACGCAGACGGUUAUAUAAGUCAGAUGUGAAAUCCCCGGGCUCAACCUGGGAACUGCAUUUGAGACUGUAUGGCUAGAGUGUGUCAGAGGGGGGUAGAAUUCCACGUGUAGCAGUGAAAUGCGUAGAUAUGUGGAGGAAUACCGAUGGCGAAGGCAGCCCCCUGGGAUAACACUGACGCUCAUGUACGAAAGCGUGGGGAGCAAACAGGAUUAGAUACCCCAGUAGUCCCUGUCUCUUAUAC